CAGUACAAACAAUUAUUUUAUUUUAUUUUUUGGUCAUAACGGAAGUACAAAUAAUAAUUUGCAAGUUACAUAAGUUGCCAUACUUAAAAAUAAAAGUUUUAUAAAUUUAAUCCCACAAUAAUAAAACCAUAUAGUACUGUACAAAAAUUACAGACCGCUAGUCUCUCUUCAUAAUUUCUCCAUAGGUCUUGUAUCUUUAGGAACCUAUGGUAUUGUUUUUUUCGAUGAUCGAGAAAUCUAUCUGGAACCAACCCUUUGGGAAAAACGCAACCUUCAGAACUCGGGAAUGAUGGAUAACUCCAUAGCGCGAAAUUAACAAGGACUAACUUGUAGAUACAAAGCAACUUCAUCCAAUUAUGUUGCAAAAGAAUUCACUAUUGACACAAUUUACUAACCAUUGAAUACACGAGGUGACAUAUCGAUAGCUCAGCUGCAUUUCUGCUGGGGAAAAAAAGGAACUUGUGUGAUUUAUGUGCCAAGUAAACGAGGAUUCGAACCAAUAAGUAGUGAUGAUACUUACAAGAGCUCCAGUUGCCACUUUCAAGCAGAUGCAUUUUUCUCUUCUUCGAGUAUGGCAGCCUCUCUAAGUGCGAUUUGUGCCUCGUUUUCCCUUCCCAAUGUGAAAAGAGAAGCAGCUUGCAGAUAUGAUGCAAUAUGCCAAACAGGAGAUAUCACUUGUGCUUGUACUGUAUCAUUGAGAGCUUCUCGUGGCAUAUCAUUCAUGAGAUAAGACAGACAACGACGAACAAACACAGUUGGUGAGGCCAUGGCUCCAACGUCAAUGAACUGCAAGAGCAAGCAAAGUAAUAGAUAACGAAAUAGUUCAACAAUAGAAUAGAUCCACAUUGCACAGUAGUGUGUAACAUAAGCAGUCAUGACAGGUUACCAGUUACGCCAAGGUUCCCCUUCGGAAAGGGGGAAGCCAGAUAGCUUAGGAAUAUACAUGCCGGUUUAGAAGAGGAUAGUGGAUUUCUAACCUGCGUAUAGCAUUCAAUGGCAGCACUAAAAUCUUUAUUUUUGAAAGCAACAUCACCCUUUUUCUUUGAGUUCAACGUUUCCAGCAUCUGAUCUGUCCACAUCUGAAAUGAAAGCUGCAAGCAAGAAAAAGAAGUGUGAUCAUCAUGAGAUUCUUAUAAAAUUGGGUUUCAAAGACAAACUGGAUAUGAUUACAAUACGAAUGAGCAAUAAGUUGAAACCCAUGAAUCACAUGCAUGACGCAGAACCGGACAAUAAGUGUUCACAUGGAAUAGGUUAUAGAUGUUCAAAAACAUGCAUAUACAAGACCAGAAAGAAAACAGAUUAUUCUUUCUUUCAUGCAGUGACAACUCCAAACGUCAUACAUCUGCGGCCUACCUACCACUUAAGUGGCACCAAUGAGAUCCAGUAAGAAAGCGUCGUGGCUCUUCCACUCCGCAUCAAUCUUAUAAACUGAAGACUCAUUUCAAUUUGUUUGUAUGAUUUUGAAAAAGUAUGAAGUUGUUAAAAGAGUCACUAAAAGGGGAAAGAGAAGUAUAUUUUGAAACAAACAAAAGAAGAAAGUAGACAAACAAAUUGAAACAAAGAAAUACUAAUCAUUAAGAGAAGAUUUUGAGUUCGAUCUUGAGGAUAAAAUCGCUCUUAGUAAAGAGCGUUAAGCCCCAAAGUGGAACUUCCCAGCACGAACUCUAAUGAGUAAUGAGUAAGGUUCCAAAGCAGAUACCUAACACAUUAUGCAACAAUAACAAACCUCGUGCAACCCCACAAGUAGAGUCUAGAGAGGGUAGUGGUGUGUACAGUCUUAAACAUUAUGGGAUACAAAAAGGCUACUUGGAUAACAUUUGUCUAGUCUAGUUAGUUUAUCCUCAAGUUUAGCUCUGCAAAGAUAAAUAAGCUAUAAGAUAUCAGAGCUUGCAAAUUAAAAGGGCUAUCUUCAAAAAGCAAAAAAGAUCUGUUCCACUAAUAAUACAAAAAGAAGUUGGAGAGAAAAAUUCCUUGCAGGUUUCAAAAAUUUAUCUUCACAGCAGUAAGAGAGUUGCAGCAACAAACCCAUCGAAGAAUUAUUGUUUCCUUCCUCUUCCUUUCUUAGGUGCUUGUGCCUCCAUCUGUUCUUUGCCACCCACUUCAGAUAUAUCAGCUGCAACGAAAAGAACUUGCAGAGCAUUACAUUGACUGGAGCAUCAGGGAGAUGCAACUAUGCAAGUAUCGAAUAAAACUUCUUAGGAAUCAAUACAAGCAAAGAUAGAAGCAUGUCUAACAAGGUACAUGCCGAGUAAUUAGUAAAGAUUAGAUUGUCAUUGGAUGUUACUUAUACCAAACAAACAAGGUACCAUGUGAAGAAAGUUUGAAAAAGUAAUACCGUCUGGACCACGAGACAUCAAGGUAAAAAAAAUGUUGUUAAGUUUCUCCAUCUUCUUGGCAUCUUGGGCUUGGUCAGUCUUAAACUUGAUACACUAGCAAGGAAUUAAAAAUACAAACCAUUAGAACAGGCAAUCAAUAUGGAAAAUUCUCUGACAUACUCCCAUCAAGCAUGGGAUACAGGAUACAUUAUAUACCAAAUGUCUAAAAAGGAACUAUAUAACAGAGCUACAGAAGUCCACAGUUAUGAGCUACCAAAUGCAUAAAAGGGAAAUAUUACAUAGAGGAGCAGCAAAUGUUCCUCUUUUCAUUCACGCGAAAACAACAAGAGAAACCAACAUUUGAUGCAAAGACUGAAUAACAACUAUAUUCAACACCGUGAAGAAAUAACAAUGUCUGUAGAGCUAAAGGUAGAGAAGGGAGGGCUCAACUGACGCCUCUUCGCUUGAAAAUUUUACUAUGCAAGUACGGUGGGUAGUGAAGUUAAGGACAAGAGGAGAAAAAAAGAAGAGUGAAACUCACUUGAGAUAACAUGUAUGGAUAUCACUGAUAUAAUAUCUAAUACAAAAACAAAUUAUAAAAUCAUCACGUUGUCCUUCAUUUAACCCGAAAACAUGCAAACACACGCUCUACAUAAUAGACAUUACUUGAAGGUCUGUUUACAAGAAAGAUGAUUACAUCACCAAACUCCACAGGGGAAAGGGCGUAUGGCAACACACGCCACCUAUUUCAACACUUUAUCACAUACCUAUCAGUGAUGCUGCUAUGAUUCCAUACCCUUUUUUGGGUUGGGUUGGGUUUUGGGGGAGGGGGCUGAAAGGUAGGAAUAGGAAGGGGCACUAAUUGACUCUUUCUAGUUUCAGCACAGAGGAAGUGGAAGGUGAUCGAUCGUAUUUUCUCCAUUCAAUGACCACUUCACUAUCAGAAUUAUACAAGCCAACUCAAACAUUUUGAAACCAAAAUAAAACACAAUUAUUUUAGGACUAUCCUCCAUUACUUUUCCAUGAGAGGUACUUGUAACUUUAGAAUAUGGGUACCAUCACAGUUUCUGGCAGAAUGUCCAGUCACCCAAGUAAACUGCAAAAGAGCUGAGGUAUGUUCUAAUGUUCAAACAUAGGAGAACCAAAAGAAAUAAGGUUCACCACAAGCUAGGUAAUAUGAGAAAAAUAAAAAUAUGUUGAGGGAAAAAGGACAAUGGAGAGGCCCCAGCGAUUUGAGAAAUGGCAAAGGUAGCACAAUGAGGGACGUGUAGCGCACGUCCCAAGUUUGAAUCCUGUUGUGGACCAAGUCUGGUAAAAGGACUGACUCAUUAUCCAUCUGAGUUUCGAAGAUGGAAACUACAAGAUUUCUUGGAUAUUUAAAAAACCAUAGGGAGAGCUGAACCAUAGAAAAUAUGAGAGAAAGGAAAAGCAUGGUAGGUACAGCAUCAAGGAUCUUAAAUGUGCCCUCUACUGAAGUUUAGGCAGACAUAUGAAGCCUAGAUGAGAUUCCACCAAAAUAUCUGGACAAUUCUAAAUUUGUGAUUAGAGAACAAAGAAAAUUGGCUAAGUCAUCGACUAUCCUAAGAAGCUUCACAAAAAGUAAGCUUAAAAGCCAUCCCCUAGUAAUCUCAAAGAGGCAAAAGAUGAUAAACAGGUCAUCUGAUAAAACAGAUCACCUUGUCUGUCUGUCUCUAUCCUUCGACUCCACACUUCCCCUUCCUUUCUCCCUACCUUAAAAGGCUAAACAUUUUCUUUUACUACUAAAUCUUUAACCCUCUUUGCCUUUUCACCAGAAGAAUCAACUUCAAGAACAUCCAAACAAAAGCAUGUACAUGAUAUAAGUUUUUAACUUUAAGAAAGAGAAAUAUUUGCUAUUGUAAUUAUAGCAGAAUGUGGUCCAACAAUGAUACUAUCCAUUUGAGAAACAACAAAAAAUAUCAUCUGGGUUACUAUAAUGUUUUGGCCCGCUCAGGUACAAGGAUUGCAGAUGACUCCACUUUUUAGACCAUAAAAGCUUUUCUCGAGAUGCUCUCUAAUUGUUGGCAUCAUUGCACCAAAGUCGUGUCUUCUUUAGGAGUUCAACUAGUUGGUUCCACAAUCCUUGGUCAUAAAGGAAAGAAAAGACUUCUUUUAAAAUCAAACAUAACCAGACAUCCUCUUAAUCAAUUCUUUCCAUGUACUUCUCAGCUAAGCAGUGUUCUCAUCUGAUUCUCACUUUAACUCUUCCCCGACAUUGAAUCUCUUUAGAGUUCUACCUUAUAAAUAUAACAGUUGUCGGAAUUCUAACAACUUAUACACCACAGGAGAAAUAGCAAUUAAGAAAAUGAACAUGAAAUGAGUGUAACAUGUGGUAAGGAGAAAAAGAAAAUAGUGCAUAUGAAAUACUAACAGACACAGAACAAGAAAUCUCUUACUCAUUACUUCACAUAUAAGCAAAAAAUAACACUAAGAUAUGACAUCAAGCAUGACUUGGAUAUCUACCAUCUCCCCUUAAAGAAUGUCAACUUCCACUAUGGAAUGCAAAAACACUCAUCUCAGCCCACUAAAAAAACUACUACAAUAUAGACCAAACACCUCAGCCAACCAGGUUUAAAGCUACCCUGCUUCCACAUAAAACAAGAACAACAACGACGCCUCAGUCCCUAGCAACAACAUUGCUUCAUUAAGCACAUCUUAGACCCAUAUUAUACAAAAAUAAUAGUGGUAUUAUUUAAUCACUCUCCUGAUAGAACAUGACAUUUAAAAACAUGUCAAUUUGAGCCACAUCAAGUUUAUGCAACCAAAAUAUUUAUCAGAGCCUCCCCAAAAUAUGAACAUCUUCCCUCAAUGAGUUUAUUGUAGCCACAAAACAAACAUAUUAUGCUUGAUCUAAUUGUUAUUACAUCAUCUGUAUCAAUAUGACAAAUAGCAUCGUCAGUUGACUCAAUUGCAUCGAUUACAUCCCAUAAAUAUAAAAUUAAGUUGAUUUUGAUCAUCAAAACUUAACAGAAGCUGGUCAGUUCUUCAUUAUGAAGAUUGUGAAUUGUACUGCCAAUCUCAUGUCGGAUUGCGGUUUUAUCACACACACACCAGUAGGAUUCAUCAGAGAACAACAACAAAAGGAACCCAAACAUUUGCACUAAAUUGCAAUGCAGAGAUAGAAAAGACUAACUGAACUCAACCAAAAAAGAUAGAAAUAAUAAAAGUUCAAUUCAGCAACCCAUGUAUACAAAAGUUUCAAUUGCAUCAAUUACAUCCCCAAAUAUGAAACAUGUUGAUUUCGAACUUCAAAACUUAAGAGAAGCUUAUCAUUACUUCUUUAUAGAACCUGUGAACAUCAUUGUACUAUCAAUUUCGUGUGAUUGUACCUUCCCCCCCCCCCCCCCACACACACACACACACACACCAGCAGGAUCCAAGAUAUAACAACAAUAAAAGAAACCCCAGCACUUGCACUAAAUGGUAAUGCAGAUAUAGAAAUAGCAGUAACAAAAACAAUCAAAACUCAACUUAGCAUCCAUGUAUGCACAAUCUACUAAUAAAAUCGCAAAACUGUAGCUAAAAAUCAUAAGAAACAUAAAAAAAAAAAGUUACCUCUUUAUCAUCAGUGACCUUGAGAACCAAUUUACCAUCAGAAUGUCUGUAUUUCAUCACAUAGCGAGUCUAUAAACCAAAAAAAAUACCAUCAAUACAUGAAUUUAUACGAAAAAAAACAAAUGAUGAACUCAUCGGAGUCAAACAACACUUACUUUCUCGGGAUCGGCGCGAAACAACUGUACGGAUCUCUCAACAAAAUCAUCCCAGGAAGUGAUAUACACCAUUCUUCUUCUCUCUGUAUCUGCUAUAUAUAAAUAUAUGUAUAUAUAACUGCUAAUCGAGCGUUCUCUCGGUGACUGUUGACGCCGGAGCUAAAUUCAGUGGCCGGCCGGCGAGGUUUUCAAUUUUUGCUCCUUAGGGGGUUUGAAAAGUCUUUUAUUGGUAUGUUUUGAGUCGCUUGAGCAAAAGGGGAAUAUUAAUGGGCCUGCAAAUAACGGGUCCCGACCCGGAUUGGCCCAUGUAAUUGUCACCUGAGCACGAGGUAUAAGUUUAUAUUUUUGCAUCAUAAUAUUAUCAAAGUUAUAACGAGUUAUACAUAAGUUCGAUUGCUAAUGAUAAUAACUAAAGAUCAAACUAUUCGAACGAUAAAUCAUAUUAGUAAAAUCUCGUGAUGAUGAAUAAUUAGAUUGCAAUAUGUAUAAAAUUAUAAUCUUUUUUGUUAAUAAAUCGUCGAUAAAAAUUUAUGUAUUCAACAACCCCUUAAUUGAGAAAGGAUACAUCAGUACAAACAAUUAUUUUAUUUUAUUUUUUGGUCAUAACGGAAGUACAAAUAAUAAUUUGCAAGUUACAUAAGUUGCCAUACUUAAAAAUAAAAGUUUUAUAAAUUUAAUCCCACAAUAAUAAAACCAUAUAGUACUGUACAAAAAUUACAGACCGCUAGUCUCUCUUCAUAAUUUCUCCAUAGGUCUUGUAUCUUUAGGAACCUAUGGUAUUGUUUUUUUCGAUGAUCGAGAAAUCUAUCUGGAACCAACCCUUUGGGAAAAACGCAACCUUCAGAACUCGGGAAUGAUGGAUAACUCCAUAGCGCGAAAUUAACAAGGACUAACUUGUAGAUACAAAGCAACUUCAUCCAAUUAUGUUGCAAAAGAAUUCACUAUUGACACAAUUUACUAACCAUUGAAUACACGAGGUGACAUAUCGAUAGCUC
rnacentral:lncRNA from 1 species